GGCAUAUUGCUCUGGAAUGCACCACUAAAUCGCUAUGUUGGAACUGUCGAGAACCUGGGCACAUGGCCAGCCAUUGUCCAAAUGAGGGCAUCUGUCACACCUGUGGCAAGGCCGGACAUCGUGCUAGGGAGUGUACAGCUCCACCACUGCCACCGGGAGACUUGAGGUUGUGCAACAACUGCUAUAAGCAGGGCCAUAUUGCAGCUGAUUGUACAAAUGACAAGGCAUGUAACAACUGUAGGAAGACAGGUCACUUGGCACGUGACUGUCAAAAUGAUCCUAUUUGUAACCUAUGCAACGUAUCUGGGCAUGUGGCUAGACACUGCCCAAAAGCCAAUGUGGUUGGAGAUCGUCGUGGCAGCAGUUACCAAGACAUCGUGUGCAGGAACUGCCACCAAUAUGGACACAUGAGCAGGGAUUGCAUGGGCCCAUUAAUGAUCUGUCACAACUGUGGGGGACGAGGACAUCGAGCAGUUGAGUGUCCUUCUGGAAGGUUGAUGGAUCGCUAUCCUCGGAGGUUUUACUGAUAUAUGACGAUGAGUUAUGUAGUGGUAGUACGAUGAAUUAUGUGGUGGUAGUAUGUGUUUCAGUUUUACUGAGAUUUGGUUGGAUGUUGAAACUUAAUAGAUAUUUGAGGAGUCAUUUUGUAAGAUCUAUAUGAUAGGCAAGGAUGUGAAGCAAUUUAUAUUGCAACAGGACUUAAUAAUUUCGAUUUGUAGGGGCUGUGUUUGGAAUAAACUACUUAUUAAGUAGGAUGCUUAUAAUGUUGCUAGAUUUGCAUGGCCUGUAACUUGAUAUCUUCAGCAAAGUUUGGUGUUUUUUUAAGAUUUACUUUUUCACAGUUG
rnacentral:misc_RNA from 1 species